GACAGAGGGUGCGAACGUUGUUCGGAAUUACUGGGCGUAAAGCGCGUGUAGGCGGCAGCGUAAGUCGGGCGUGAAAUCCCACGGCUCAACCGUGGAAGUGCACUCGAAACUGCGCAGCUAGAGUCCUGGAGAGGAAGGUGGAAUGCUUGGUGUAGAGGUGAAAUUCGUAGAUAUCAAAGCGGAACACCGGUGGCGAAGGCGGCCUUCUGGACAGUGACGUGACGCUGAGACGCGAAAAGCGUGGGGAGCAAACAGGG
rnacentral:rRNA from 1 species